rnacentral:snRNA from 1 species
AAUUUCAGGAGAUUACUG